rnacentral:rRNA from 1 species
GACGAACGCUGGCGGCGUGCUUAACACAUGCAAGUCGAGCGGUAAGGCCCUUUCGGGGGUACACGAGCGGCGAACGGGUGAGUAACACGUGGGUGACCUGCCCUCAGCUCUGGGAUAAGCCUGGGAAACCGGGUCUAAUACCGGAUAUGACUCCAUGACGCAUGUUGUGGGGUGGAAAGCCUUGUGCGGCUGAGGAUGGGCCCGCGGCCUAUCAGCUUGUUGGUGGGGUGANGGCCUACCAAGGCGACGACGGGUAGCCGGCCUGAGAGGGCGACCGGCCACACUGGGACUGAGACACGGCCCAGACUCCUACGGGAGGCAGCAGUGGGAAUCUUGCGCAAUGGGCGAAAGCCUGACGCAGCGACGCCGCGUGAGGAAUGACGGCC